UGCAUUCAACCUUACUGCAGAGCAUACUGUUGAUAGUGUGUUCCGCGAAAUUUCUGUUCGUUUAAAUCUAUUUUAAUACAUUAUACGAUCGCUGAAAUAUGUCAUCAAGUACCAUUAUUAGUUCUAUGACUAUAAACGAACUAAAAGAUGAGCUGAGGACGUUCGGAGCGAAGGUUUCUGGCAGAAAACAGGAGUUAUGUGAGAGGUUAGAGUUUUAUAGGACUAAUAAAGUGGUUGUAUCACUUGAACCGGAGUAUAAAAUGUGUGUACCAGAAAACUAGUGAAUUCAAAGAUAUCCACACUGGAAUGAUUGAUUGGCUCCCAAAAAUAAGUAUGAAGAGAAUAGAUGAAUAUCUAAAUCGGUAUGACAAAGGAUUUGAUGAGAAAAUAAAAGAUUUUUAUCAACAAA